rnacentral:lncRNA from 1 species
GCUAGUCACGAUCGUGUUAAGUAGAUUCAUGGCAGGAGUAUCAUGCUUUUCAUAGUUACAAUUGCCUCGUCGAUGCUUAUGAUUUCCAAAGAACUUAAUGAUUCUAACUUGUAUAUUUAUCAUGCUGUUCAUAUAGAGAACUUGUUAGGAAUAAUUUGUUUGCGAUGCAUAUUCAUCCAAUUCAAUGAUUCUAGGGAAAUCUGAAAGUUAAUUUAAGCGGACCUAAUUAACUUGGAGUGUCGAGGUUCCUAACUUAUUGAAUUGAUAACUGGAAAUCGAUUACGUUGCAUAAAUUUCAUGUGUGGAGAAGAACCCCUUAGCCAUUCCAUCACCCAUUGAUUCAUCACAUUUAGUUUACAAUCUGUUUUAAUUUACAAUCUGUGCAUUUAGUUCAAAUUCGUCCAAACACAAUUCCCCCAUAUUUUGUUAAGUUUGAGUCUUCAUAAUCUGUCCUCUUUGGUGUUUUUAAGUAUUUUGAGUCAUAAGUUUUGUCAAAUUCGUCCAAAUCUUGUCUUAGUUGCUGUUUGAGUCAAUUAACUUGUUUUAAUCAGUUUUGGGCAGAUUUGAGUGUUUCAAAUCUGUUUUGAAUCUUAGUAGUCUAAUUAGAGUCUUUAAGUUUAGUUUUCGUGUUUCUAAGUCGAUUUGUAUUAGAUUAGCACCCCUAGUUAAUCCCCGGUUAGAACGAUCCCUACUUACAUCAUUACUACAAUUGUCACAAAUAGGGUUUAAUUUGUGUGUCAAGUUAAUUUUACGCAUCAUAAACUAGUACCUAAAACAGGAAAACAAGACAAGGUCAGAAACUAGAAACAAAUACAAACGAAAAUAAACAAAAAGAAAUAACAAGGGAUUAGCAAAGUUGCUAAUCCCUAACAACGGCACCAAAAUUUGAUGUGAUAAAAGUUAAGCACACAAAUUAAACCCUCUUGUUGACAAUUGUAGUAUGAAUAAGUAGGGAUCGUUCUUAAACCGGAGAUUAUGAGGGAUUGCUAAAACACUCUAAACUAACUCAAAUAUAUAAAAAGAGGCUAAAAACACUUAACUAGACUCAAAGAACUCAAAUCAAACUCAAAAGACUCAAAACCUGCUAAAAACGCUCAAAACUGCCUAAAAACAACAAUUAGACAGUUUCUGACUCUAACACACUUCUUGGACGAAUUUUGGUUUUAAAUUGAUUCAAAACACUUAAAAACACAAACUAAACAGAUUCUAACUAAUUAGACACUCUAAAGUAAAGGGGGGUUUGGUUUUGGUGAAUUUGAAAACAAAACAAACAGAUUGUAAACUAAGCAAAUUUUGGACGAAUUUGGGGUAAAACUAUGGAUGAUAAGCUAGCUAGGAAGUUCUUCUCCACCCUUGACACACUUGCAAACAAAAUGAUUUCCAGUUGCUUUUCAAUACCCAUGAAUCCUCAACGCCCCAGAUUAACUGUGAAUUGCACUAAUUAACCCUCAGAUUUUCCUAAUUUCAUUGAAUUAGUAGAUGAUUGUAUACAACAACCCAAAGCAUUCUUCACAAGUUCCCUACAUGAAUUGCAUAAUAAAGCUACAAGCAAAGAUAAUUAAGUUCAAUGAAAAUCAUAAGCAUUAACAAGGCACUUGUAACUAUGAAUUGUAUGAAACUUAUGCCAAGAAUUUACUUAACACGAUUGUGACAAGCAACCUUCACUACUUGUGAAUAUAAGUUCAUAACGAUUAGGUGAAACUCCCUUAUAUCUUAGCAUCAGAUUUAUGCAUGAAAAUUAAGCGUGCACUCUCAACCAACACACAUAAAUCAGUUUUAAUUCAAAUGGAUAAGUAAAUAGAAUUCACAACUUAUGAAUCACAACUGGAUGUAAUCAAAUCAUAGUGCAAGUAUGAACAUGGUUUCGAAUUCCCCCAUUGCUAAAAGGGGUUUAGUUCCUCAUACUCACAACACAAAGAUUAUUGAAUUAAAACAUUGAAAACAAAAGAAAGAUUGCACCUAAAACGUUCCAGCAAUCCUAGCUCGAAUGACAAGCACAUCCAAGGGCUUUCCUCCUUCCUUCUUGCUGCGGCACAAGGUUUGAUGGUGAGUUUUAGGGGUUAUGGAUGGUGUAGAAGGAUGGGUUUAUGGUUAGGAUAAAUGUAUGGUGCGGCAAGGGUUUAUUAAGGUCAGAAAUUAUGGAGAAUGGUGAAGGAUGGAUGCGGCAGAGAGUGAGAGAUGAUUUCUGGCGUGAAUGGGUGAAUGAAUGGAUGCCUUAGGCUGCAAAAAGGAAGUCUAUUUAAGGUUUUUAGGAAUUAAAACCCUAACUUAUUUUGGUUAACAGAAAUUAAGUCAAAAGCUUCUAGAAAAAGGAAAUAAAAUAAAAAAAACUAAGGGAAAUAGGCUAAGAUAUGCGGCAAGGAGAUAAAACACAAUAGGAAUGUGUUUUAAUGCAAGGAAUUAGGAAAGAACACUCUCCCUUGCACGGCAAGGAAGAGUAAAGGGCCAGGAGGGUGCGGCAAGGCCUUUGAUUGUGCAAGGAAGAUGUAUUUUGUGUCCUAGAAUGCUUAGGAGGCCUUCCGUGUUGCUGAAAUUUAGAGACAUUCAAGAUUAGGAAAGGUUAAACCCAAAAUAGGAAACCUUGGCUUAACUUUCUUACUUCAAUUAGGAAUCCUUAUUCAAUUGGGAAUCCUUCUUCAACUAGGAAUUCUUCUUCAAUUAGGAAUCCUAGCAUCUUCAGGUCUUCAAUUUCGUCCAUUCCUUUUGGUCCAAGCAUAUGCUAUCCAUUCCAAGCCUAAUUUUGCUCCAAAAUGCACUUCUUUGCCACUUUAACCCUUUGGACCUACAAACACACGAAAAUAGCUUAAAAUACUAAAAUAACUACGUACUAACAACAUAAAUGCCAAGAAACAAGCUAACUAAGUCGCAUAAAUAUACUCCUAUCAAGCAUCGUCGCCAACUGAGCAAUCGCCUCGCUGCGAGCAUUACUCUUAACCCAUCACUUAUGCAUUGAGGAGUGAGCCCUUAUUCUAUAAAAAAGACUCCCUCACCAUCAUUAGAGAGCAUCGUCGCCUGCCGGGCAACCGCCUCGUCGCGAGCAUCAACUCUUAACCCAUCACUUAUGUAUUGAGGAGCGAGCCCUUAUUCUAUAAAAUGGACUCCCUCACCAUCAUUAGAGAGCAUCGCCGUCUGCUGAGCAACCGCCUCGCCGCGAGCAUCAACUCUAGCCUAUCGUUUAUGUAUUGAGGAGUGGGCCCUUAUUUUAUAAAAGGGACUCCCUCACCUUCAACGCCACAAGCCGAGCCAACCCAGGCAAUAUAAGCCACAAGCAGAGCAGCCUCACAACAUGUGCUACUUCUAGUUGAGCCUCAUUUCAGAUUGGGCACCGCCUCAUAUCGAGUAUCAAAGCAAUGAAUUCGGCCCUAAAGAGUUUCAAAGUAUUGUUUGUUGAAGUAAGGGUCCAAAGUAUUGUUUGUUGAAGUAAGGGUCCAAAGCAAUGAAUUCGGCCCUAAAGAGUUAUCUAAAUCUUUCCCUUGUGCUUUAAAGUUAAUUUCUGCAAUCUAAGUGAAUUCUAAGCCUCAAUUUCACUACUUUGCUUACUAAUGCUUGAAGAACGUUUGUUUUCCCUAUCCUUUCUUUGUUAACCAAUACCCCAAGCCCCGUUACAACCCUUAACUUCUAUCUUGAGUGUUAUGUGUUUCAAUUUGUGGAGUUUGAAUUUGGUAUGAGCAUAUGGU